CAAAAAAAUACCAUAAACUUAACUUAACCCUUUACUAAUACUGAAUGACUUCAUAUCUUUAUGAAGAACCUUAUGUUAGAACUAGUAACAAGAAGAAGCCCUUCUCCAAAAUGUAAGCAUGAACCAAAAUGAACAAAUCAUUGGUGCUUAAAAUUUUUUAACUACAAGUAACAACUCAUCAAGAAAACCUUACUACCCAACAUGUCAACCUUACACAAGUACAUUUAUGGAAAGAGUAAAAGAAUGGGAAGGAACUCGGCAAAUUACUAACCCCGCCUGUUUACCAAAAACAUCGCCUCCUGCUACUUUAUAGGAGGUCCAGCCUGCCCAGUGAUAAAAUUAAACGGCCGCGGUACCCUAACCGUGCAAAGGUAGCGCAAUCACUUGUUCUUUAAAUGAGGACUAGUAUGAACGGCAUCACGAGGGUUACACUGUCUCCCCACUCUACUCAGUGAAACUAAUCCCCCCGUGAAGAAGCGGGGAUAAAAAUAUAAGACGAGAAGACCCCAUGGAGCUUAAAACUCAGUCUUACCUGCCACCUAAAAAACCUAGAAACCACGCAGCACUAAUGACUAGUUUUCGGUUGGGGUGACCGCGGAGAAAAACAAAUCCUCCACGACGAAAGGACCUAUUCACCUAAUCCAAGAGCUACACCUCUAAGAAUCAACACAUUGACCAAUUGAUCCAAUUUUUUGAUCAACGGACCAAGUUACCCUGGGGAUAACAGCGCAAUCCAUUUCAAGAGCUCAUAUCGACAAAUGGGUUUACGACCUCGAUGUUGGAUCAGGGUAUCCAAGUGGCGCAGCCGCUACUAACGGUUCG
rnacentral:rRNA from 1 species